rnacentral:lncRNA from 1 species
AAAAUGUGGGAGUUUGUUUUAUGAAUAAGUAAAUGUGGGAAUUGAGGUUUGGAAUGGAAAUAAAGAUGGGGUUUGGAAUAUAUAAAGUAGAAGAUAAGGAAUUGUGGUUUGGAAUGGAAGAAAAGAUAGGGUUUGGAAUAUAUGAAGUAGAAGAUAAGGAAUAUGGGAUUUGGGGUUUCAGAUUAUAGGGAUUUAAACGUAAUACACGUUAAAUCCACGUAAGUUGACGUCAAAAUUACGAUGCAGUCCUCGUUUAUUCCACGUAGACAGAAUCGUCGUAAAGGACUCGUUGGCGAAACCCGUUAAUUCCACGUAGGAGAGAAUCGUCGUAAACACCCCAAUAAGUAAAUGACGAACGCGUCCCUCUUUAAUUCCAUGUAGGACGGAAUCGUCGUAAACACCUCGUAACGUAAAUCGUCGUAAACACCUCGUAGUGUAAAAACUAGAAAAAAAAAAAGAAAAAGAAGAAAUAUACUGGAUUUACAUGUGGCAAGACUUCCAG